CAUUCGGUUGUGGGGAUGCCUGUCGCUCUCCUAAGUUUCUUUCUGUUGGUGUUGAAUAUAGAGUCUGCAGUCUCUGUCUGUGACAUCAGAGUGCAUACGAUCAAUUUCGGAUGCCAUCUUGAGUGGAAUUGUCUUGAUGCCAACCCUAAAACGACUUACACUGUUUUGAGCAAGCAUGGUACAUCAUGGGUAAAUGUUUCGGGCUGCAUCCAGAUUUUGCAGCAAAGCUGUGAUCUGUCAGAAGUCUUUCCUAACUUAUACACCUACAACUUCAUCAGACUGACAUCUGAGCUUCUCUGGCUGAAUGAAACUCUGUAUUGCACCCCUGUAGAUGACCGUCAGUAUUAAACCUCAAGCCAUGUCCCACAAAUUUAAUAAAUAAAGGUCAAAAAUGUGUAAUAUUGCACAAAUCUAGAAAAGCUGGAUUACAUUACAGAAAUGCAUUCAUUCAUAGUAUGUAAGGCUAUUGUCCAUUGUCAAUAAUAAAUUAAUAUAAUUGGACAAGAAUUAAAUUAUAAUAAUAUCUUUAUGAUUUAAUAUUGUAUUGUAUUAUUGUUAUUAUAUUGUAUUAUUGAUAUGAAUUAUGUAAUAAUAAUAAUUAUUAUUAUUGUUGUUGUUAUGGAAAAUUGUCAAGAGUAAGGUGUGUUUUUGUUUGUUUGUUUUUUGCUAGCUGCUGCCAAAUUCAGCCGCCUCAUACUGCUGCCAAAUUCAGCC
rnacentral:lncRNA from 1 species